rnacentral:rRNA from 1 species
UGGAAAAACUCCCUUGACGGUACUUAAUGAAUAAGCCCCGGCUAAUUAUGUGCCAGCAGCCGCGGUAAUACAUAAGGGGCGAGCGUUAUCCGGAAUUAUUGGGCGUAAAGGGUGCGUAGGCGGUUUAAUAAGUCUAUAGUUUAAUUUCAGUGCUUAACGCUGUUGUGCUAUAGAAACUGUUUUACUAGAGUGAGUUAGAGGCAAGCGGAAUUCCAUGUGUAGCGGUAAAAUGCGUAAAUAUAUGGAGGAACACCAGAGGCGUAGGCGGCUUGCUGGGACUUUACUGACGCUGAGGCACGAAAGCGUGGGGAGCAAACAGGAUUAGAUACCCUGGUAGUCCACGCCGUAAACGAUGAGUACUAAGUGUCGGGUAAAACCGGUACUGAAGUUAACACAUUAAGUACUCCGCCUGAGUAGUACGUACGCAAGUAUGAAACUUAAAGGAAUUGACGGGACUCCGCACAAGCGGUGGAUCAUGUUGUUUAAUUCGAAGAUACACGAAAAACCUUACCAGGUCUUGACAUUUUCUUGCGAAGUUAUAGAAAUAUAAUGGAGGUUAUCAGGAAAACAGGUGGUGCAUGGUUGUCGUCAGCUCGUGUCGUGAGAUGUUAGGUUAAGUCCUAAAACGAGCGCAACCCUUGUCGUUAAUUGCCAGCAUGUAAUGAUGGGGACUUUAACGAGACUGCCAAUGAAAAAUUGGAGGAAGGUGGGGAUUACGUCAAAUCAUCAUGCCCCUUAUGAUCUGGGCUACAAACGUGAUACAAUGGUUGAUACAAAGAGUAGCUGAAACGCGAGUUCUUAGCCAAUCUCACAAA